UACGUAGGGUCCGAGCGUUGUCCGGAAUCAUUGGGCGUAAAGCGCGUGUAGGCGGUCCGGUAAGUCCGCUGUGAAAGUCGGGGGCUCAACCCUCGAAUGCCGGUGGAUACUGUCGGGCUAGAGUGCGGAAGAGGCGAGUGGAAUUCCUGGUGGUAGCGGUGAAAAUGCGCAGAUAUCAGGAGGAACACCAAUUGCGAAGGCAGCUCGCUGGGACGUUACUGACGCUGAGACGCGAAAGCGUGGGGAGCAAACAGG
rnacentral:rRNA from 1 species